rnacentral:lncRNA from 1 species
GCCCACGUUUUUCUCUGCGCUGCCCCUUGCAGAGCGGCCCGGAGCCCAGCGCCGCCCCGCGUAGGAAGGGCAAGAAGGGCAAGGGGAAAGGCAAGCGCAAGGGGAAAGGCAAGAAGAGGAGGAACAAGGAGCUGCAGGAGCAGCACGAGGCCUCCGAGCCCUCUGCCGUGGCCAACCAGGCCAGCGCGCCCACGCCGACGCCGCCGUCUCUGGAGGACGGCUCCCCGCCGCCGGUCACCUCCAGCCUGGCCACCACCGUGAGCGUCGCCCUGAACCGCACCGACCCCUUCGAGGUACCACCGAGGCUGGGAGCAGCAGCGGGCAGGGGGAUCCCCAACGUCUGUGCAUCCCCAGCGUCUCCCCCUGUCCCUCAGGACGCUGGCGAGGAGCUCGUGCUGGAAUCCGGGGAGGACGGAGCCGCUGGGGCUGCCAGCGCGGAGCUGCCAGGCUACGAGGACUACUACGACGGGGACCCUGCGAGCCCGGAGCGGUUCGGCCCGGCCGAGCGGGAGGAGACGGUGAUCCGGGCUCCCCAGGUAACGCUGGGGACGAGGACCGGGACCCCCUCCAGCCACGGCCGGACGAGCUGGGGCCACGGUAUGGGGUCCGGGGGCCGUGCAGGCGGUUCGGAGCUCUGCCCCGAGCUCGCGGCCGCGUCCCCUCACCGCGGCGCCGCGCUGCGUCCCGCAGGAGCCCAGCCUGAAGGGGGACAAGGGCGAGCCGGCCGUCGUGGAGCCGGUGAGUGGGGUACGGCCGCUCGGGGACGCGUGGCGCCCUGCUGCAAGCCACCCGUGGCUGGUGGCUCGCAGGACAGGGCGCAGGGACGCGCCGCGCUCACUCCCUUCUCUUUUAGGAUCGGCGAUUUGAGGGGCCGCCGGGACCCCCGGGCCCUGCGGUAA